GACGAACGCUGGCGGCGUGCUUAACACAUGCAAGUCGAGCGGUAAGGCCCUUUCGGGGGUACACGAGCGGCGAACGGGUGAGUGACACGUGGGUGACCUGCCCUCAGCUCUGGGAUAAGCCUGGGAAACCGGGUCUAAUACCGGAUAUGACUCCAUGACGCAUGUUGUGGGGUGGAAAGCCUUGUGCGGCUGAGGAUGGGCCCGCGGCCUAUCAGCUUGUUGGGGGGUGAUGGCCUACCAAGGCGACGACGGGUAGCCGGCCUGAGAGGGCGACCGGCCACACUGGGACUGAGACACGGCCCAGACUCCUACGGGAGGCAGCAGUGGGGAAUCUUGCGCAAUGGGCGAAAGCCUGACGCAGCGACGCCGCGUGAGGGA
rnacentral:rRNA from 1 species